CAUUGUACCUUCAUGGAAUGAGCUGUACACCUUCUAAUGGGUGCCAAAGAUAAAACUAACAAGCAAAUUCAGCUGAUGGAAAGCAUUUCUGCAAGAUUCUGGCUUCAGAAACAAACGGGCAAACAGCAGUUUCCCAGAAAAUGUCAUGGCAGAUCUUCUCACAGUCUGAACUCUUCUUGAAUUCUGUAAUAAAAUGUUUUGGCGGCCUUUUUAUUUUUUUGAAACAUAGACUGUCUUUUUCUGAUGGCUGCAUUUCUGGGCAAAAGGUUGCACUGUACAUCCCUGCUGACAAGUUUGGCUAUAGAUUGCUUUUAAAACCUUGUGUUUAUAACUCCAAAAACUACAGCACAAAUUUAUUUUGUAGUUUGGAGUCCUUUGGGAUUAGCACUGCAAAUUAAAAAUGAACACCAUCUCCCCCUUCUCGCCCCAGUUAUAGCUUCAAAUAAAGCAGAGAUUUGUAUAAAAGACUUAGGUGUUAACAUGA